rnacentral:lncRNA from 1 species
CUAGAGUGUCCAGCCCGUUGGCUACCUGAUUAUAUGACAUCUGCGCUCAGAACCAUCUAUUCCUGCUCUCCUGGUCUUCUAGCUUGCAGGCUUCUCAGCCUCUGAGUCAAAAGGAGGACCCAGGGCCAAGUCUCAGAGUGGACUGCACGGGCAAUUGUAAGCCAUCAUGACAGUAUGACCCAAGGAUAGACAAAGUCCAGCCCGUGUGCCUGCCUACCCAGGAGCAGCCAGCAGGAGACAAAGCUCCCCUGUCCUGUCCUGUGAUGUCUGUGUCCCACAGUUUUGUGUUCAGCAUUACGUCUUCACUGUUGGGAUCCCCGACGGGAGCCUGAAGAAGUCACCGAACUGAGAGAAGCCAGCACAGC